GGGCUAUGAAUCAACUACAUAAAAGUCUCACAGUUUGCCAUUAAGUUGAAACUUCACUUCAUUGCCAGUCUUUGAUGGUAAACAUAUUUUGUUUUAUAAUAGUUUCUAUUUAUCAACUUUUAAUCAAUAUUUAUAAAUAACUAUUGUUUUUACUUGCUAGAACAUAGUAUGUCUAGUAUGAUGGAACUAAUGAACAAUAUAACUAGAGAUCAGAAUAUAAUUAUACUAGGACAAGAACAAAUUUUAUCUAAAUUAGAACUACUCAAAAUUAAUUCUAAAACUGGAAGAUAGAAUUAUU
rnacentral:lncRNA from 1 species